GGAGAGGUGGCCGAGUGGUUGAAGGCGCACGCUUGGAAAGCGUGUAUACGUGCAAACGUAUCGCAGGUUCGAAUCCUGUUCUCUCCGCCA
rnacentral:tRNA from 1 species